UACAGAGGUGGCAAGCGUUGUUCGGAAUUACUGGGCGUAAAGGGCGCGUAGGCGGUUCGUUAAGUCCUGUGUGAAAUCCCCCGGCUCAACUGGGGAACUGCACAGGAAACUAGCGGGCUUGAGUUCGGGAGAGGGAAGCGGAAUUCCGGGUGUAGCGGUGAAAUGCGUAGAUAUCCGGAGGAACACCGGUGGCGAAGGCGGCUUUCUGGUCUGUUCUUGACGCUGAGGCGCGAAAGCUAGGGUAGCAAACGGG
rnacentral:rRNA from 1 species